AAGGGUAUAGCUCAGUGGUAAAGUGCGUGCUUAGCAUGCACGAGGUCGUGGGUUCAAUCCCUGGUACCGCUG
rnacentral:tRNA from 1 species